GGAUUGUAGCUCAGUGGUAGAGCACUUGCCUAGCACUCAUGAGGCACUAGGUUCAAUCCUCAGCACCA
rnacentral:tRNA from 1 species